UUACUGUGACAGAGAAUGAAUGAAAUCUGUCAAUAUUCAUUUCCGGAGCCAUCCACAGUACUCUCUGCCUAGUUUUACUUGUCAUACUUCAAAAGGAACAAAGACAGUAUGGAACAUAUUCAUAACAAAGCAACCUGAAUGCUGAAACCAUGUGAUAUGAGAAGUGAUUGCUGAAGGAGAUACAGCAAUGGGUGUCAUCGCGAUGAAUGGUUUCUUGUAAAGUUAAUAAAUAAUGACUAAGGUGUGAUAAGAGAGCCUACCAACACUAAGAAU